rnacentral:rRNA from 1 species
GACGAACGCUGGCGGCGUGCUUCAUACAUGCAAGUCGAGCGGGAUCCAUCCAGUGGCAACACUGGUGAAGUUAUCUAGCGGCGAACGGGUGAGUAACACGUGAGGAACCUGCCCAGAGACCGGGAUAACCCUCCGAAAGGAGAGCUAAUACCGGAUACCCCCACCGGAUCGCAUGGUCUGGUGAGGAAAUGGAUUCCGCUCUGGGAGGGCCUCGCGGCCUAUCAGCUUGUUGGUGAGGUAAUGGCUCACCAAGGCUUCGACGGGUAGCUGGUCUGAGAGGACGGUCAGCCACACUGGGACUGAGACACGGCCCAGACUCCUACGGGAGGCAGCAGUAGGGAAUCUUGCGCAAUGGGCGAAAGCCUGACGCAGC